GGCCCCGUCGCCAAGUGGUAAGGCAGAGGUCUGCAAAACCUCCAUCACCAGUGCGAAUCUGGUCGGGGCCUCCA
rnacentral:tRNA from 1 species